ensembl:lncRNA
CCUUCCUCUCUUGUAGGCCAAUUUAACAAGCAUGAGUCAUGUGCUUUAGAUAUUUGAGGAGAAUAUCAGUGAUGAAAGCCUUGCUGGAGUCAAGACACAUGGCACCCGCUCUCUCCUUUCCAGAAACACUCACAAGAAUUUAAUGGCUCUGAAAGUUUCUUCUGACAGGACACAUUUUUGUGGUCUUCUUGAAUUCUGGAGAAAGGAUGUCCUCAUGACCAGCUUGCUGCCCUAUUGAUUUCCUACAUGACCUUGGGAAAGUCAUUUAACCUCUGUUCUGUAAAAUGGAAAGGAAAUCAGUUGGGAGGCUUGGCCUCCCUGCUGCCAGCACCAGCAUCAAAGCAGGACCCACCAGGACUGAAAGAAGGAAUUUCUCCAGUUUCAGCUUUAAAAAGUCACUAUCUUUUCCUGGAACAGUGGUGGAUUGCCACAGAGGCACUUCUGCAAGAGAAAUACAGCUUCCAUGCUCCCAAAUGCAAACUGAUGCAUCUAUCCCCUGCCUCCAACACUCCAGGAACCACGAGUUUCCUUUGUAUCCAUCACUGAGCACAACCAAGGCUCCUUCAGAAGGCCAGAUCCUGCUCCAAGAGCUCUAUUUUUUUACCAGCUCUGGACUUCACCUAACCCAUUGCCAGUGUGGUCUAAGCUAAACUAUAGCAAAGUGCUUUUAUCUGCAUCAAGAGCAUCCACAACGGGAUGAGAACAUGCCUCGCCAAGUGAGAUCCUACAGAUCCUGUAGGAGAAUUAAGAGUCAGGGCCAGGUUUCUAUGCCAUGUACAGCUCCAGGG